UGGGGAAUUUUGGACAAUGGGCGCAAGCCUGAUCCAGCCAUGCCGCGUGCGGGAAGAAGGCCUUCGGGUUGUAAACCGCUUUUGUCAGGGAAGAAAUCUUCUGAGUUAAUACCUCGGGAGGAUGACGGUACCUGAAGAAUAAGCACCGGCUAACUACGUGCCAGCAGCCGUGGUAAUACGUAGGGUGCAAGCGUUAAUCGGAAUUACUGGGCGUAAAGCGUGCGCAGGCGGUUUUGUAAGACAGAGGUGAAAUCCCCGGGCUCAACCUGGGAACUGCCUUUGUGACUGCAAGGCUUGAGUGCGGCAGAGGGGGGAUGGAAUUCCGCGUGUAGCAGUGAAAUGCGUAGAUAUGCGGAGGAACACCGAUGGCGAAGGCAAUCCCCUGGGCCUGCACUGACGCUCAUGCACGAAAGCGUGGGGAGCAAAACAGGAUUAGAUACCCUGGUAGUCCACGCCCUAAACGAUGUCAACUGGUUGUUGGGAAGGUUCCUUCUCAGUAACGUAGCUAACGCGUGAAGUUGACCGCCUGGGGAGUACGGCCGC
rnacentral:rRNA from 1 species